rnacentral:rRNA from 1 species
CUGGCGGCGUGCCUAAUACAUGCAAGUCGAACGGUCUUUCUAUGGAAGCUUGCUUCCACUGAGAAGAUAGUGGCGAACGGGUGAGUAACACGUGGGUAACCUGCCCAUAAGAGGGGGAUAACAUCCGGAAACGGGUGCUAAUACCGCAUAGUUUUCUUGAUCGCAUGAUCGGGAAAGGAAAGACGGCCUUUGUGCUGUCGCUUAUGGAUGGACCCGCGGCGUAUUAGUUAGUUGGUGAGGUAACGGCUCACCAAGACGAUGAUACGUAGCCGACCUGAGAGGGUGAUCGGCCACAUUGGGACUGAGACACGGCCCAAACUCCUACGGGAGGCAGCAGUAGGGAAUCUUCCGCAAUGGACGAAAGUCUGACGGAGCAACGCCGCGUGAGUGAAAGAAGGUUUUCGGAUCGUAAAACUCUGUUGUCAGAGAAGAACAAGUUGGAGAGUAACUGCUCCAGCCUUGACGGUAUCUGACCAGAAAGCCACGGCUAACUACGUGCCAGCCGCGGC